UAGUGUUAAAGCUCUUUUAGAAUUUCUCUAGCGUGUUUUCCGGUUGCUCCUGGAAAGCCUCG
rnacentral:snRNA from 1 species